rnacentral:rRNA from 1 species
CAGUCGCCGCGGUAAUACAGAGGGUGCGAGCGUUAAUCGGAUUUACUGGGCGUAAAGCGUGCGUAGGCGGCUAAUUGAGUCGGAUGUGAAAUCCCCGAGCUUAACUUGGGAAUUGCAUUCGAUACUGGUUAGCUAGAGUGUGGGAGAGGAUGGUAGAAUUCCAGGUGUAGCGGUGAAAUGCGUAGAGAUCUGGAGGAAUACCGAUGGCGAAGGCAGCCAUCUGGCCUAAUACUGACGCUGAGGUACGAAAGCAUGGGGAGCAAACAGGAUUAGAUACCCGCGUAGUCCCUGUCUCUUAUAC